rnacentral:rRNA from 1 species
UAUCGGGAUAACUCCUUUGGGAAACCAUGGGUGCUAAUACCGAAUAGUUUGCGGCCUCUCAUGAGGCCACACGGAAAGACGGUUUCGGCUGUCACUGCAGGAUGGGCCCGCGGCGCAUUAGCUAGUUGUAGUGUGAGGAUAACGGCUCACCAAGGCCACGAUGCGUAGCCGACCUGAGAGGGUGAUCGGCCACACUGGGACUGAGACACGGCCCAGACUGUCGGGAGGCAGCAGUAGGGAAUCUUCCGCAAUGGACGAAAGUCUGACGGAGCAACGCCGCGUGAGUGAAGAAGGUUUUCGGAUCGUAAAACUCUGUUGUGAGGGAAGAACAAGUACCAAGUAACUACUGGUACCUUGACGGUACCUCACCAGAAAGCCACGGCUAACUACGUGCCAGCAGCCGCGGUAAUACGUAGGUGGCAAGCGUUGUCCGGAAUUAUUGGGCGUAAAGCGCGCGCAGGCGGUCCUUUAAGUCUGAUGUGAAAGCCCACGGCUCAACCGUGGAGGGUCAUUGGAAACUGGGGGACUUGAGUGCAGAAGAGGAAAGUGGAAUUCCACGUGUAGCGGUGAAAUGCGUAGAGAUGUGGAGGAACACCAGUGGCGAAGGCGACUUUCUGGUCUGUAACUGACKCUGAGGCGCGAAAGCGUGGGGAGCAAACAGGAUUAGAUACCCUGGUAGUCCACGCCGUAAACGAUGAGUGCUAAGUGUUAGGGGGUUUCCGCCCCUUAGUGCUGCAGCUAACGCAUUAAGCACUCCGCCUGGGGAGUACGGCCGCAAGGCUGAAACUCAAAGGAAUUGACGGGGGCCCGCACAAGCGGUGGAGCAUGUGGUUUAAUUCGAAGCAACGCGAAGAACCUUACCAGGUCUUGACAUCCCGCUGACCGCCUAGGAGACUAGGCUUGUAUGUCGUACCUUCGGGGUACAGCGGUGACAGGUGGUGCAUGGUUGUCGUCAGCUCGUGUCGUGAGAUGUUGGGUUAAGUCCCGCAACGAGCGCAACCCUUGAUCUUAGUUGCCAGCAUUCAGUUGGGCACUCUAAGGUGACUGCCGGUGACAAACCGGAGGAAGGU